ensembl:lncRNA
GCCCAUUCAAAGCUGUGGUGCUUCUUUUAAAGGGAACACCAUCAUGCGUGCAAUGCCUCUUGUAUAUAACCUCAUUAAAGGAACUCAUCUAACUCAUCUGUACUGAGGAAACUCUCACCUCCCCCAAAGGCAAUGACUCAAGAUACUAAUCAGUGCAAUGAGGAUGUCUGAGGGUUUUUCCAUCCACCACUUCAGCCUGGGCUAUACUUUUCCUUCCUCCACUACUGCAGCCACAAAGGCUGUUCUUGAUUUGCAAAGGAAGACAUCCAGCCACCACUUGUGCUGACUGCCUCAGCCCUCUAGAGUUUGAGCAGAAGGAGGCACCGUAACUAAAGAAGACUUAAAGAAAAUAAGGCUGCUGUAUUUGGCCCAGAAACAUCCUCAAAGCUGCUGACCAUCUCUUUCUCUUAAAGAGAUGAGAAAGGAUCACCGUCAGGAGUCAGAAGUAUGCCUUACUAGGGCCAAGCAAUAUAGCACCAGCUGAAGUCUGUCUGCUCACAUCUCUGAAAAUAACGCUGGCUGGGAAGCUGAAACCAAUUCAAGUUCCUCCCACAUCUCUCCUCCACCACCACAGUGAAUUAAACCGUCUUUCCUCAAAAACAAUGCCUGAUACUCCCUCAGCUCCUUCCUGCACCCUUCAGCUGAUGAAGUAGUUAGCUAGUUCAGUGAGACACUUGAACAGGAGCUUAAAUACACAGUUAUGUGCUUGACUGGAUCAGGGCCAUCCUGGUUUGGAAAAACGUGCCUUUGAAAGUGGUUUUUCAGGGAUUUAGGAUGCUCUUCUAACUGAGUUCCUUCAUAAUUCCCUAGUACAGAGCUAGAAUCUCCAGACCCUUCAAAAUACUGUCAUUAGGUUCUUUUAUUUUUCUUCCAAAAAUAAAUCACAGUGAAGUUAUAUUUCAAGGAGCAAGCAAAGUAGCAGAGAUGUAUUCACAUUCCAAUUUACACAGAAAUUAAUCAUGGGUAAUAUAAUAAAAUCAAGACAGCAAUGCUAAAUUAAUGCAGGGUUGGGGGAAAAAGGUAUAAAUAUAAUCACUGUUGAAACGAUCUGAUGUAUGUUUUCUGGUCAGGAUAAACAGCUAUGUUCAACCUGAGCCAAAUUGCAGGAAAGCAAUCAUUUCCAUUGACAAUAACAUCUUGCUCCACAUUAUUUUGCCAUGAUUAUGCAAAUAUUUGAUAAAUACCCUACAGAAGGAUUACAAGAAAGGCAAUACUUUACUUAUAAAAAGCCAUACUGAACCUAAGACACAAAAAGGGAUAAUGAAUGAGCACACCACAGAGUAAUUUAUUCUAGUUGUAUGCUAAGUAUUUU